AGCUUUGCGCAGUGGCAGUAUCGUAGCCAAUGAGGUUUAUCCGAGGCGCGAUUAUUGCUAAUUGAAAAAAUAAAGUAAAACAA
rnacentral:snRNA from 1 species